rnacentral:rRNA from 1 species
UACGAAGGGGGGCUAGCGUUGUUCGGAAUUACUGGGCGUAAAGCGCACGUAGGCGGACAUUUAAGUCAGGGGUGAAAUCCCAGAGCUCAACUCUGGAACUGCCUUUGAUACUGGGUGUCUUGAGUAUGGAAGAGGUGAGUGGAAUUCCGAGUGUAGAGGUGAAAUUCGUAGAUAUUCGGAGGAACACCAGUGGCGAAGGCGGCUCACUGGACCGGCAUUGACGCUGAUGUGCGAAAAGCGUGGGGGAGCAAACAGG